rnacentral:rRNA from 1 species
GGUCAAGCUACAAAGGGCUCACGGUGGAUACCUUGGCACACAGAGGCGAUGAAGGACGUAGUUACCUGCGAUAAGUCUCGGGGAGCUGGAAACACGCUUUGAUCCGGGAAUUUCCGAAUGGGGCAACCC